rnacentral:tRNA from 1 species
GCGCGGGUGGCGAAAUUAGAAGACGCACUGCCUUGAGGUGGCAGCGCCUGUUAAAGGCGUGGAGGUGCAAGUCCUCUCCCGCGCA